rnacentral:rRNA from 1 species
UACGUAGGGGGCAAGCGUUGUCCGGAAUCAUUGGGCGUAAAGCGCGUGUAGGCGGUUCGAUCAGUCUGCUGUGAAAGCCCGGGGCUCAACCCCGGAAAGCCGGUGGAUACUGUCGAGCUAGAGUGCGGAAGAGGCGAGUGGAAUUCCUGGUGUAGCGGUGAAAUGCGCAGAUAUCAGGAGGAACACCAAUUGCGAAGGCAGCUCGCUGGGACGUUACUGACGCUGAGACGCGAAAGCGUGGGGAGCAAACAGG